CACGGACCCGGUGAAAUUCCGGGUGGCUAUUCUGGCCGCCAAUCCGCCAGACAACG
rnacentral:ncRNA from 17 species